rnacentral:rRNA from 1 species
AAUCAACGCUGGCGGCGUGCCUCAGACAUGCAAGUCGAACGAUUAAAGCUCUCUUCGGAGAGUGUAUAGAGUGGCGCACGGGUGAGUAACACGUAAGUAAUCUACCUUUGAGUGGGGAAUAACAGUCGGAAACGACUGCUAAAUACCGCAUAAUGCAGCGGCACCGCGAGGUGACAGUUGUUAAAGGAGCAAUUCGCUUAAAGAGGAGCUUGCGGCAGAUUAGCUUGUUGGUAAGGUAACGGCUUACCAAGGCUACGAUCUGUAUCCGGUCUUAGAGGACGGUCGGACACACUGACACUGAAUAACGGGUCAGACUCCUACGGGAGGCAGCAGUCGGGAAUUUU